GACGAAGGUCCGGGUUCUCUCGGAUUGACGGUAGGUGGAGAAGAAGCACCGGCCAACUACGUGCCAGCAGCCGCGGUAAUACGUAGGGUGCGAGCGUUGUCCGGAAUUACUGGGCGUAAAGAGCUCGUAGGUGGUUUGUCGCGUUGUUCGUGAAAUCUCACGGCUUAACUGUGAGCGUGCGGGCGAUACGGGCAGACUAGAGUACUGCAGGGGAGACUGGAAUUCCUGGUGUAGCGGUGGAAUGCGCAGAUAUCAGGAGGAACACCGGUGGCGAAGGCGGGUCUCUGGGCAGUAACUGACGCUGAGGAGCGAAAGCGUGGGGAGCGAACAGGAUUAGAUACCCUGGUAGUCCACGCCGUAAACGGUGGGUACUAGGUGUGGGUUUCCUUCCUUGGGAUCCGUGCCGUAGCUAACGCAUUAAGUACCCCGCCUGGGGAGUACGGCCGCAAGGCUAAAACUCGAAGGAAUUGACGGGGGCCCGCACAAGCGGCGGAGCAUGUGGAUUAAUUCGAUGCAACGCGAAGAACCUUACCUGGGUUUGACAUGCACAGGACGCGUCUAGAGAUAGGCGUUCCCUUGUGGCCUGUGUGCAGGUGGUGCAUGGCUGU
rnacentral:rRNA from 1 species